rnacentral:rRNA from 1 species
CCUACGGGUGGCAGCAGUGGGGAAUAUUGGACAAUGGGCGAAAGCCUGAUCCAGCCAUGCCGCGUGUGUGAAGAAGGCCUUCGGGUUGUAAAGCACUUUCAGUGGGGAAGAAAGCCUUGGGGCUAAUACCCUCGAGGAAGGACAUCACCCACAGAAGAAGCACCGGCUAACUCCGUGCCAGCAGCCGCGGUAAUACGGAGGGUGCGAGCGUUAAUCGGAAUUACUGGGCGUAAAGCGCGCGUAGGCGGUCUGAUAAGCCGGUUGUGAAAGCCCCGGGCUCAACCUGGGAACGGCAUCCGGAACUGUCAGGCUAGAGUGCAGGAGAGGAAGGUAGAAUUCCCGGUGUAGCGGUGAAAUGCGUAGAGAUCGGGAGGAAUACCAGUGGCGAAGGCGGCCUUCUGGACUGACACUGACACUGAGGUGCGAAAGCGUGGGUAGCAAACAGGAUUAGAUACCCGAGUAGUC